CUCGUAGGUGGUUUGUCGCGUCGUCUGUGGAAUCCCGCAGCUCAACUGCGGGCGUGCAGGCGAUACGGGCAUAACUUGAGUACUGCAGGGGAGACUGGAAUUCCUGGUGUAGCGGUGAAAUGCGCAGAUAUCAGGAGGAACACCGGUGGCGAAGGCGGGUCUCUGGGCAGUAACUGACGCUGAGGAGCGAAAGCGUGGGAGCAAACA
rnacentral:rRNA from 1 species